rnacentral:rRNA from 1 species
GAUGAACGCUAGCGGCAGGCUUAAUACAUGCAAGUCGAGGGGCAGCACGAAUAGCAAUAUUUGGUGGCGACCGGCGCACGGGUGCGUAACACGUAUACAACCUACCUAUAACAGGGGGAUAGCCUUUCGAAAGAGAGAUUAAUACCCCGUAAUAAAUUGAGUGGCAUCACUUGAUUUUGAAAGCUACGGCGGUUAUAGAUGGGUAUGCGUCUGAUUAGCUAGUUGGUGAGGUAACGGCUCACCAAGGCGACGAUCAGUAGGGGAUCUGAGAGGACUAACCCCCANACUGGUACCUGAGACACGGACCAGACUCCUACGGGAGCAGCAGUAAGGAUAUUGGUCAAAUGGAGGCAACUCUGAACCAGCCAUGCCGCGUGCAGGAUGACGGCCCUAUGGGUUGUAAACUGCUUUUGUACCAGAGAAAACCUACUCACGUAGUGAGUAGCUGAUAGUAUGGUAAGAAUAAGC